rfam:Ricinus communis cultivar Hale ctg_1100012358226, whole genome shotgun sequence.
GAGCAAUGAGGAUCACUGUACCUUUGUGGUUGGUGGGGGUCCAUCACCAUCAUCUGAGUUAACGACGAGAUAACAAGUGUUGCUGAGCUC